AACGAACGCUGGCGGCAGGCCUAACACAUGCAUGUCGAACGCCCUAGCAAUAGGGAGUGGCAGACGGGUGAGUAACGCGUGGGAACCUUCCCAUUGGUACGGAAUAGCCCAGGGAAACUUGGAAUAAUACCGUAUAAGCCCGAAAGGGGAAAGAUUUAGCGCCGAUGGAUGGGCCCGCGUAGGAUUAGCUAGUUGGUGAGGUAAUGGCUCACCAAGGCGACGAUCCUUAGCUGGUCUGAGAGGACGAUCAGCCACACUGGGACUGAGACACGGGCCAGACGCCUGCGGGAGGCAGCAGUGGGGAAUAUUGGACAAGGGGCGCAAGGCUGAUCCAGCCAUGCCGCGUGAGUGACGAAGGCCUUAGGGUUGUAAAGCUCUUGUGGCGGGGACGAUAAUGACGGUACCCGCAGAAUAAGCCCCGGCUAACUUCGUGCCAGCCGCCGCAGUAA
rnacentral:rRNA from 1 species